rnacentral:snRNA from 1 species
GAGUGGCCUUGCUGCCACG